AAAUUAUACUGGGGUAUCUGAUCUGGAUUUUGUCUAAGGGAAGGUGAUAUGUAAUAAUUUGGCCCUAAAUAUCCUCUGGCAUGAUUUGUAGCUUCAGUAAAAUCAUUAAAACCUUUAAAAAGAGGGGCUUUAAAACCUUGUAUGGAGUCUAAUACUUCUAACCAUGUUUGGAAAAUCCCGUUAGUUUUUCCAUGAAUGACUACAUAGUAUUUAAAACGAGGCCUACUUUUUUCU
rnacentral:lncRNA from 1 species